UUUCAUGACAUGAUCUUGUUUUCUCGACUCGACUGACAAAUUGACAAUGUUAUUGUGAAUCGUAUAAUCAUUGUGGAUCGUAAUAUCUACUUGUAAAAGGGAUAUCUUUAUAAAUAUCCAAUAAAUUUGCGUGUGUCUGUUCAUAGAUCGCUGUUUCGGCGAAAUAAUGGACGAAGUAUAUUCAUUUUUUCGGUCUACCCAACCAACUCCGGUAGUAAAGCUACCAACCCCGCAAACCGGUGGACAUCGUAUUACGAAGGAAGACACUCUCAACCAGUUAGAUAGACGCGAGAAUCAUCGCAAAUCGGUUGUAAUGACUGGCACGGAUUACGCUAAAGUAAUAAAGGAGCAGGAGUUGAAAAGAUAUUUAGAGUGUGAAGUCGAACGCCAAAUGUCAAAUAGCCUUGCUGGUGGGCUGAACUCAAUGGAACAGCUGUCAAUACGGGAUUCAGUUCUGAGUAUAAACCAAAUACAAUCAUUAACUGAAGAAGCCAUGACUGAAGUCUACAGUAAAUACUCCUUUCAGAGAAAGGAAGACACUGGAAAACUCGCUAUUUAUAAUUUUCAUGAAGAAAUAUUAAAAAGAAUUCAAACUUUUCCUAUUACAAUAAUUGAAGGCCCUACUGGUUGUGGGAAAACAACACAAGUCCCACAGUGGAUUUUAGAUGAUGCAUAUAACAACAGAAGGCCAUGUAAGAUUGUUGUAACACAGCCUAGGAAAAUAGCAGCUAUAUCUAUUGCGAAGAGAGUAGCUCAAGAGAGAGGCUGGGAUGUUGGUGGAGUCGUCGGUUAUCAGGUUGGUCUUGAGAACAAAACAACUACUGACACGAGAAUAUCUUAUGUGACAACAGGAGUAUUACUCCAGAAACUUGUGAACGCAAAGAAUACAGACGAAUACACCCAUAUCGUACUAGACGAAGUUCACGAGCGUGAACAGGAUAUGGAUUUCCUCCUGUUGGUGGUCAGGAAACUGCUGUUCACAGCUACAAGGACAGUGAAAGUGAUCCUCAUGUCUGCUACCUUCAACACACAGAUAUUCCAGGACUACUUCACACUGCCAACACCAUCGAUGGGUCUGCAAUCCUCUGGAUGCUUCAAAAUUACAAAUGAUAAACCCACAUUCAGUGUGAAAUUGUUUUAUCUGGACCACAUAGCUAAGAUGGGUUACUCAAACCUGCAACAAAAUAUGCGUGAAUUACAAGACCCAGAAAUUCAUCCAGACAUGAACAAUCUUGUAUCAACAUUAAUAGAGAAGUUUGAACAGAUUGACAUGAAAGAAGAAUUCGUCGAUAUAGACAGAGCCGAGGCCGAUGUGCCGUCCGUACUUAUAUUUCUGCCUGGAAUCUAUGAGAUUGAGGAGCUUUACGCUGUCCUCACAGACAGUGAUUUCAAGGUCAAAUAUAACUGGUGGGUGUUGCCGUUGCAUUCUACCAUCACGGCCGACGAGCAGGUGCGGGUGUUCCAGCGCGCGCCGCCCGGACACCGCAAGAUUAUACUCGCCACCAACAUCGCUGAGAGCUCAAUCACGGUGCCCGAUAUCAAAUAUGUAAUCGACUACUGCCUGAUGAAAAGGUUAGUGGUGGAUCCCAACACGAGCUUCACUUCGCUGCAACUGUGCUGGGCGUCCAAGACCAACUGCGAGCAGAGGUCGGGGCGCGCCGGCCGCGUGCGCGACGGGCGAGUCUACAGGCUCAUUUAUCAAAAGUUUUACGUAACCCUGCCCCAGGAUGCCACGCCAGAAAUGGUCCGAUGUCCUCUAGAACGUCUGGUGCUGUUGGCCAAAAUGCUCGACAUGGGCCCGCCAGCCGACAUCCUGGCGCUCGCCAUGGACCCACCUGACAUGUCCAAUAUACUCCGCACCAUACUUGUGCUGAAAGAGGUGGGAGCAUUGAAAAAGACGGUAGACGAUGAUUGGUCUGCAGUGGACGGUGACAUCACUUACAUGGGGCGUAUAAUGGCGAAGUUACCACUUGAUGUGAAGUCAUCCAAGCUUAUUGUGCUGGGCUACAUCUUCGGCUGCCUGGAAGAGAGUAUUGUAAUGGCUGCUGGUAUGUCCGUGAAGAAUAUAUUCAGCAGUCCGUUCCGCGAGCGUUUGAACGCGUACAACUCCAAGCUUACGUGGGCAGACGGGUCCAUGAGCGAUUGUAUCGCCAUGUUGAAUGUUUACAAGGUUUGGGACCACCUCCGUAAGCAGAACCACUUCAAGCAGCCCGCGGGGACGAACGAAGCGCAGUGGGCAAGACGUUUCUAUGUGCAAAUCCGUGCUCUCAGAGAGCUCAAUGAUCUCGUCCGAGAAUUGCGGAUGAGACUGUCGAGAGAGGGCAUCGACCCCAAGAAGGGCACUUCACCUUGGAGCAAGGCAGAGCACUCAUUAGCACUCAAGGUGAUAUUGGCGGGUGCGUUCUACCCGCAUUACUUCGUCCACGGGUCCUCCGACGAGGCCCGCGAGAGGGACGCCGUGCGAGUCCUCGGGGGCCUGGACCCCCGCAACACCGUCUACCUGAGGGGCUUCCCCGACAAUCAGCCGGGGGAGGUCUACGCCAAAGUAAUAAAGAAGAAAGUGAGAGACCAGAUUGGUGAUGAACCGAGAGUUACCUUCGAUAAGAACAGCCGAAAAGUGUAUUUGACAUUCCAAGACAAUCAAAAUGUGAAAAAUGAUCAGAAGGGCGGCGAUCCAACCAUUCCCGGACAAGUGGUGUUGCCAGUGUACAAGGCAAUAAAGGCCAGGCAUUUGAAAAUGGAAAUAAGGAUACCAUUGCUCUCAGUUGAGAAAGCAAACUUGCUGGCUGAAGGCCUCGCUGAGAUGAAGAAAAAUGCAAACAUCGACAAAAUGGUGCCGCGCCUGCCCGAGAUCGAUGAUACGCAUUUCCCCUUGCAAAUUUCGCAGUUGGUUAACGUCGGCCGCUUCUGGGUGCAAUACGCCGACGAUUCGACGGCCUCCGAACUGCGGCUCAUACAGGGGAUGUUGAACCGCAAGUCAAUGUUCGCGUACACGGACGACGUGACCGAGGACGCGCUGGUCGCGGCGCCGUACGUGGACGCCACCGGCUCUAUGAUGUACCGCGCGAGGGUGACCCGGCUGCUGCCCAAGAACAUGAUGGAGGUAUUCUACGUGGACUAUGGUACUAUGGGCCGUGUGAGUUCCAGCAGCCUCCAAGAGUUGCCGCGGGAGUGCAGGGAGAUACCGCCCCUGGCGAUGCAGUGCGUGCUGAGCAACAUCGCGCCGUCGCCGCUGUUGAACGAACACGGGCAGUGGAGCGCGAAGGCUCUGAAGCUGUUCACCGACCUGGUGUCCAAGGGCCGGCUUCUUGGGAAGAUUUAUUCUGUGGCACAUGGUAUAGUGUCCAUAGAACUGUUGGCGGACGGUGGGAAGAUUAAUGUGAAUAAGGAACUACUUGACAAAGGGCUUGCUGUUGCUUCCGAAGAAAGUUAUGAUUCGAAGCUAAAUCACGACCUUAGGCAAAUGGCCACAGAGCUCAAUAUGACACAGAAGCGAGCGUACAACAAGGAACAAACCGAUCUGGCCUUCAAUCAAAUGCACGAAUGCGAGGCGCCUAACUUCAAGGAGUGUUUCUAUGAUGCAUGUCUCAAGGGACCAGACAGCCCCCUGGAGUCUACUUUGCACAAUUUGAUGUACUCAAGCCGAAACAAGCAAGUCACUGUGGAGUGGAACUCUAUCAACUCUGUCUUACUGGACACAGAGCCUCAGGAAAAAUAUGAAAGAUUGCUGGUCUCAGCUGAGGUUGGCCAGAACGACACGGGCAGUAGACUGACCCUGCGUCACACCACCCUGCUGCCUAACAUUAGAGGCCUGCCCUCUAUCAUUGCGUUGCUGUUCAGUCCCCAGGCGGAGCUGCGCCGCGACCCGACCAUGUCGCGCUACGUGAGCGCGCUGUGCGGGCUGGGCAGCGCGGGCGACAUGCCGCUGUUCCCCGAGCACGACAUCCUCGUCAACAUCGACGCGAAGCUCACCAUCAACGACCUCGGCCUGAUAAACCACAUCCGCCACUUGAUGGACACCAUGAUGUUCUGCUACGGCUGCGAGGACGUCCCGUCCACCGACGAUGAUUUCCGAACCAAAAUCCCCAAAAUGAUACGCGACGAACUCAUGCGAUUGCUACUCAAACGGCGCAAGCAACGCGAGCCGUUAAUGGUGCCGAACGCGUGGGAGUGGAGCUCCGCGCCGCAGGAGGACAUGCUGCAGAUCACCAUGGAGGACUUCGAGGAGCGCGCCGUGGUGUUCCCCAUGCACACGCCGCUCGAGCUGCACCCCGUGUCCAGGGAGAGGCUGCUGCUGCUGCGGAAGGAGACCGAGGAUCUGAAGAAACUGGUCGGGAGGUGAGGGCAUUAGAGCAGGCACUGAAGCGUGAAUACUUCGAGGAGCGCGCCGUGGUGUUCCCCAUGCACACGCCGCUCGAGCUGCACCCCGUGUCCAGGGAGCGGCUGCUGCUGCUGCGGAAGGAGACCGAGGAUCUGAAGAAGCUGGUUGGGAGAACGAUCACGUCGGCUUCGGACCUUGAAUGCAGGUUGUGCGGAACCACGCCAAUGCCGGCGCACGCGAUGCGCAUUCAUCUGU
rnacentral:misc_RNA from 1 species